AGGGUUUGAUUAUGGCUCAGGAUGAACGCUAGCGGCAGGCCUAACACAUGCAAGUCGAGGGGCAUCACGAGGUAGCAAUACUUUGGUGGCGACCGGCGCACGGGUGCGUAACGCGUAUGUAACCUACCUAUAACAGGGGCAUAACACUGAGAAAUUGGUACUAAUUCCCCAUAAUAUUCGGAGAGGCAUCUCUCCGGGUUGAAAACUCCGGUGGUUAUAGAUGGACAUGCGUUGUAUUAGCUAGUUGGUGAGGUAACGGCUCACCAAGGCAACGAUACAUAGGGGGACUGAGAGGUUAACCCCCCACACUGGUACUGAGACACGGACCAG
rnacentral:rRNA from 1 species